CGCAAGCCUGACGGAGCAACGCCGCGUGAGGGAGGAAGGCUCUUGGGUUGUAAACCUCUUUUCUCAAGGAAGAUAAUGACGGUACUUGAGGAAUCAGCAUCGGCUAACUCCGUGCCAGCAGCCGCGGUAAUACGGAGGAUGCAAGCGUUAUCCGGAAUAAUUGGGCGUAAAGCGUUCGUAGGUGGUUCUGUAAGUCUGCUGUUAAAGCGUGUAGCUCAACUACAUAUAGGCGGUGGAAACUACAGAACUUGAGUGCGUUCGGGGUAGAGGGAAUUCCUGGUGUAGCGGUGAAAUGCGUAGAUAUUGGGAAGAACACCAGUGGCGAAGGCGCUCUGCUGGGCCAUAACUGACGCUGAGGGACGAAAGCUAGGGGAGCG
rnacentral:rRNA from 1 species